rnacentral:tmRNA from 1 species
GGGGUCGUUACGGAUUCGACAGGCAUUAUGAGGCUUGUUCUGCAACUCAUCGUGCGGAUGUAAAACGUCAGUUAAAUAUAACUGCAAAAAAUACAAAUUCUUACGCAUUAGCAGCUUAAUAACCUGUUAUGUGUGACUAGUCGCAGAUUGCUUGCGUUUGUUUGACUGGUCUUAAAAAUGGCAAGCUACGUUAGAGCAUUGUCAGGUUGUUCUAAAAGAGAUUUACUGAAUCGCUUGGCUGAGGUUUGAGUUAUGUAUCGCUGUCAAGUUAAAUUAAGACAUAACCUAUAGUUGUAGACGAAUAAGUUGGCAGGUGUUUGGACGUGGGUUCGACUCCCACCGGCUCCAU